rnacentral:tRNA from 1 species
GGUGGCUCAGUGGUAGAGUGCAUGAGUUGCAAGCAUGAGACCCUGGGUUCGAUUCCUCAGCACCA